GCGACGACCAGCCACACUGGAACUGAGACACGGUCCAGACUCCUACGGGAGGCAGCAGUGGGGAAUUUUGGACAAUGGGCGCAAGCCUGAUCCAGCCAUGCCGCGUGGGUGAAGAAGGCCUUCGGGUUGUAAAGCCCUUUCGGCUGGGACGAAAAGGUCCGUAUCAACACCACGGAUCCAUGACGGUACCAGCAGAAGAAGCACCGGCUAACUACGUGCCAGCAGCCGCGGUAAUACGUAGGGUGCAGGCGUUAAUCGGAAUUACUGGGCGUAAAGCGUGCGCAGGCGGUUUGCUAAGAGAGACGUGAAAUCCCCGGGCUUAACCUGGGAACUGCGUUUCUAACUGGCAGGCUUGAGUGUGGCAGAGGGGGGUGGAAUUCCACGUGUAGCAGUGAAAUGCGUAGAGAUGUGGAGGAACACCGAUGGCGAAGGCAGCCCCCUGGGCUAACACUGACGCUCAUGCACGAAAGCGUGGGGAGCAAACAGGAUUAGAUACCCUGGUAGUCCACGCCCUAAACUAUGUCAACUGGUUGUCGGGGAAGCAAUUCCUUGGUAACGAAGCUAACGCGUGAAGUUGACCGCCUGGGGAGUACGGCCGCAAGGUUAAAACUCAAAGGAAUUGACGGGGACCCGCACAAGCGGUGGAUUAUGUGGAUUAAUUCGAUGCAACGCGAAAAACCUUACCUACCCUUGACAUGCUAGGAAGCUCGCAGAGAUGUGAGUGUGCCCGAAAGGGAACCUAGACACAGGUGCUGCAUGGCUGUCGUCAGCUCGUGUCGUGAGAUGUUGGGUUAAGUCCCGCGACGAGCGCAACCCUUGCCAUUAGUUGCCACAUUCAGUUGGGCACUCUAAUGGGACUGCCGGUGACAAACCGGAGGAAGGUGGGGAUGACGUCAAGUCCUCAUGGCCCUUAUGGGUAGGGCUUCACACGUAAUACAAUGGCCGGUACAGAGGGCAGCCAACCCGCGAGGGGGAGCUAAUCCCAGAAAGCCGGUCGUAGUCCGGAUCGCAGUCUGCAACUCGACUGCAUGAAGCCGGAAUCGCUAGUAAUCGCGGAUCAGCAUGUCGCGGUGAAUACGUUCCCGGGUCUUGUACACACCGCCCGUCACACCAUGGGAGUGGGUUUCACCAGAAGUAGUUAGCCUAACCGCAAGGGGGGCGACUACCACGGUGAGAUUCAUGACUGGGGUGAAGUCGGAACAAGGUA
rnacentral:rRNA from 1 species